UCCCUGGUGGCCCAGUGGUUAAAACUCCACACUCCCAAUGCAGGGGGCCCAGGUACAAUUCCUGGUCAGGGAA
rfam:TPA: Bos taurus chromosome 14, whole genome shotgun sequence.